GGCCCUUAUCCGCCUCGUCAUUUCUACUCCCCACCUUGUGAGCCGCUGAAUCUGCCAUUCAUUGGCACGUGACCAGUGGACAAGGAAAUCUCAUGUUGCUGAGAAUGCCGUAGUUCGAGUGAGUUCCUCACUACCUGAAAAUGUCCAUUUGAAGACACGAUCAGGCUUUCAAGAUCUAUCAAUGUUUAGUGUGACAACAUGCACCAGCUCACAUCGAAACAGCGCAGGUUUAGUGAUUCUCAUCUUAGCACAUUUUAUCAGGGCAUGACGGUUUUUUAAACCAAACGUCCUCGAAUAUUUUCCACCCGUGGUUGGCCGCAGGCAGAACUGGGCGUCACGUGACCGACAUCCCGAGCGAUACCCAGCCUGUAUGUGAAAUAAGUUGUAUAUUCUUGGUCUUUUCCAUGUCCACCUGCUGUAGCACUAUUUUAUGGACAUGCGUUGGGAAAAUACACUUCCAGUUGCUG